CAGUCGGUGGUGUAACGGUUAUCAUACGCUCCCGGAAAGAGUGAGAUCUGGGUUCGAAUCCCGACUGACAUAGA